rnacentral:rRNA from 1 species
AGCGAACAUUGGCGGUAGGCUUAACACAUGCAAGUCGAGCGAGGCGUAAUAGUCGAGCGGCGAACGGGUGCGUAAUACAUGGGAACCUACCCCGAAGUGGGGGAUAACGUUCAGAAAUGGCCGCUCAUACCGCAUAAUCCAUAUUGGGAAAGCGUUGCAGCGCUUUGAGAGGAGCCCAUGGCUGAUUAGCUAGUUGGUGAGGUAAUGGCUCACCAAGGCGACUAUCAGUAGCUGGUCCGAGAGGAUGACCAGCAACACUGGAACUGAGGCACGGUCCAGACUCCUACGGGAGGCAGCAGUGGGGAAUCUUGCGCAAUGGGGGCAACCCUGACGCAGCCAUACCGCGUGAGUGAUGAAGGUCUUCGGAUUGUAAAGCUCUUUCGGCGGGGACGACGAUGACGGUACCCGCAAAAGAAGUCACGGCUAACUUCGUGCCAGCAGCCGCCGUAA